rnacentral:rRNA from 1 species
AGUGAACGCUGGCGGUAGGCCUAACACAUGCAAGUCGAACGGCAGCACAGUAAGAGCUUGCUCUUACGGGUGGCGAGUGACGGACGGGUGAGGAAUACAUCGGAAUCUACUUUUUCGUGGGGGAGAACGUAGGGAAACUUACGCUAAUACCGCAUACGACCUACGGGUGAAAUCAGGGGAUCUUCGGACCUUGCGCGAUUCAAUGAGCCGAUGUCGGAUUAGCUAGUUGGCGGGGUAAAGGCCCACCAAGGCGACGAUCCGUAGCUGGUCUGAGAGGAUGAUCAGCCACACUGGAACUGAGACACGGUCCAGACUCCUACGGGAGGCAGCAGUGGGGAAUAUUGGACAAUGGGCGCAAGCCUGAUCCAGCCAUACCGCGUGGGUGAAGAAGGCCUUCGGGUUGUAAAGCCCUUUUGUUGGGAAAGAAAAGCAGCAGGUUAAUACCCCGCUGUUCUGACGGUACCCAAAGAAUAAGCACCGGCUAACUUCGUG